UACGUAGGGCGCGAGCGUUGUCCGGAAUUAUUGGGCGUAAAGAGCUCGUAGGCGGCUUGUCGCGUCGGAUGUGAAAGCCCGGAACUUAACCCCGGGUCUGCAUUCGAUACGGGCAGGCUAGAGUUCGGUAGGGGAGAUCGGAAUUCCUGGUGUAGCGGUGAAAUGCGCAGAUAUCAGGAGGAACACCGGUGGCGAAGGCGGAUCUCUGGGCCGAUACUGACGCUGAGGAGCGAAAGCGUGGGGAGCGAACAGG
rnacentral:rRNA from 1 species